GGUUAAGCGACUAAGCGUACACGGUGGAUGCCCUGGCAGUCAGAGGCGAUGAAGGACGUGCUAAUCUGCGAUAAGCGUCGGUAAGGUGAUAUGAACCGUUAUAACCGGCGAUUUCCGAAUGGGGAAACCCAGUGUGUUUCGACACACUAUCAUUAACUGAAUCCAUAGGUUAAUGAGGCGAACCGGGGGAACUGAAACAUCUAAGUACCCCGAGGAAAAGAAAUCAACCGAGAUUCCCCCAGUAGCGGCGAGCGAACGGGGAGCAGCCCAGAGCCUGAAUCAGUGUGUGUGUUAGUGGAAGCGUCUGGAAAGGCGCGCGAUACAGGGUGACAGCCCCGUACACAAAAAUGCACAUGCUGUGAGCUCGAUGAGUAGGGCGGGACACGUGGUAUCCUGUCUGAAUAUGGGGGGACCAUCCUCCAAGGCUAAAUACUCCUGACUGACCGAUAGUGAACCAGUACCGUGAGGGAAAGGCGAAAAGAACCCCGGCGAGGGGAGUGAAAAAGAACCUGAAACCGUGUACGUACAAGCAGUGGGAGCACAGAGCAAUCUGUGUGACUGCGUACCUUUUGUAUAAUGGGUCAGCGACUUAUAUUCUGUAGCAAGGUUAACCGAAUAGGGGAGCCGAAGGGAAACCGAGUCUUAACUGGGCGUUAAGUUGCAGGGUAUAGACCCGAAACCCGGUGAUCUAGCCAUGGGCAGGUUGAAGGUUGGGUAACACUAACUGGAGGACCGAACCGACUAAUGUUGAAAAAUUAGCGGAUGACUUGUGGCUGGGGGUGAAAGGCCAAUCAAACCGGGAGAUAGCUGGUUCUCCCCGAAAGCUAUUUAGGUAGCGCCUCGUGAAUUCAUCUCCGGGGGUAGAGCACUGUUUCGGCAAGGGGGUCAUCCCGACUUACCAACCCGAUGCAAACUGCGAAUACCGGAGAAUGUUAUCACGGGAGACACACGGCGGGUGCUAACGUCCGUCGUGAAGAGGGAAACAACCCAGACCGCCAGCUAAGGUCCCAAAGUCAUGGUUAAGUGGGAAACGAUGUGGGAAGGCCCAGACAGCCAGGAUGUUGGCUUAGAAGCAGCCAUCAUUUAAAGAAAGCGUAAUAGCUCACUGGUCGAGUCGGCCUGCGCGGAAGAUGUAACGGGGCUAAACCAUGCACCGAAGCUGCGGCAGCGACGCUUAUGCGUUGUUGGGUAGGGGAGCGUUCUGUAAGCCUGUGAAGGUGUGCUGUGAGGCAUGCUGGAGGUAUCAGAAGUGCGAAUGCUGACAUAAGUAACGAUAAAGCGGGUGAAAAGCCCGCUCGCCGGAAGACCAAGGGUUCCUGUCCAACGUUAAUCGGGGCAGGGUGAGUCGACCCCUAAGGCGAGGCCGAAAGGCGUAGUCGAUGGGAAACAGGUUAAUAUUCCUGUACUUGGUGUUACUGCGAAGGGGGGACGGAGAAGGCUAUGUUGGCCGGGCGACGGUUGUCCCGGUUUAAGCGUGUAGGCUGGUUUUCCAGGCAAAUCCGGAAAAUCAAGGCUGAGGCGUGAUGACGAGGCACUACGGUGCUGAAGCAACAAAUGCCCUGCUUCCAGGAAAAGCCUCUAAGCAUCAGGUAACAUCAAAUCGUACCCCAAACCGACACAGGUGGUCAGGUAGAGAAUACCAAGGCGCUUGAGAGAACUCGGGUGAAGGAACUAGGCAAAAUGGUGCCGUAACUUCGGGAGAAGGCACGCUGAUAUGUAGGUGAGGUCCCUCGCGGAUGGAGCUGAAAUCAGUCGAAGAUACCAGCUGGCUGCAACUGUUUAUUAAAAACACAGCACUGUGCAAACACGAAAGUGGACGUAUACGGUGUGACGCCUGCCCGGUGCCGGAAGGUUAAUUGAUGGGGUUAGCGGUAACGCGAAGCUCUUGAUCGAAGCCCCGGUAAACGGCGGCCGUAACUAUAACGGUCCUAAGGUAGCGAAAUUCCUUGUCGGGUAAGUUCCGACCUGCACGAAUGGCGUAAUGAUGGCCAGGCUGUCUCCACCCGAGACUCAGUGAAAUUGAACUCGCUGUGAAGAUGCAGUGUACCCGCGGCAAGACGGAAAGACCCCGUGAACCUUUACUAUAGCUUGACACUGAACAUUGAGCCUUGAUGUGUAGGAUAGGUGGGAGGCUUUGAAGUGUGGACGCCAGUCUGCAUGGAGCCGGCCUUGAAAUACCACCCUUUAAUGUUUGAUGUUCUAACGUUGGCCCCUGAUCGGGGUUGCGGACAGUGUCUGGUGGGUAGUUUGACUGGGGCGGUCUCCUCCUAAAGAGUAACGGAGGAGCACGAAGGUUGGCUAAUCCUGGUCGGACAUCAGGAGGUUAGUGCAAUGGCAUAAGCCAGCUUGACUGCGAGCGUGACGGCGCGAGCAGGUGCGAAAGCAGGUCAUAGUGAUCCGGUGGUUCUGAAUGGAAGGGCCAUCGCUCAACGGAUAAAAGGUACUCCGGGGAUAACAGGCUGAUACCGCCCAAGAGUUCAUAUCGACGGCGGUGUUUGGCACCUCGAUGUCGGCUCAUCACAUCCUGGGGCUGAAGUAGGUCCCAAGGGUAUGGCUGUUCGCCAUUUAAAGUGGUACGCGAGCUGGGUUUAGAACGUCGUGAGACAGUUCGGUCCCUAUCUGCCGUGGGCGCUGGAGAACUGAGGGGGGCUGCUCCUAGUACGAGAGGACCGGAGUGGACGCAUCACUGGUGUUCGGGUUGUCAUGCCAAUGGCACUGCCCGGUAGCUAAAUGCGGAAGAGAUAAGUGCUGAAAGCAUCUAAGCACGAAACUUGCCCCGAGAUGAGUUCUCCCUGACUCCUUGAGAGUCCUGAAGGAACGUUGAAGACGACGACGUUGAUAGGCCGGGUGUGUAAGCGCAGCGAUGCGUUGAGCUAACCGGUACUAAUGAACCGUGAGGCUUAACC
rnacentral:rRNA from 3 species